UUUUAGAUAAAAAAGAAAGAACCAUCUUUUUUGAAGGGGGGAUUCUCUCACAUUCAGUCUUCUCUCCUCAAAGGCUAGAACCAUCGCACUCAAGCUCCCAUCUCUCUCCCUCUCGCCCAACGACCGAACCUAUCCAUUUUCUUCCUCCUCUUCUCUCCAACCUCCGGGAACCCUAGAAAAAACCAUCCCUCUCACUACUACCUUCCCCAAAAUCCAACAAAACUCUCCUCCCUCUUCUCCAAUGCCAUUGAACCACCAUUAACCUUCAACCAUUUUCCUUCCAUCCUAUCCCUCAACAAAAAAAGAGAGAAAAUGAACAAAAAAAUCUGCACACAUCUCAGUUCAGCUAUGUGAUGGAGGAGGAGAAGACACAAGAAGAAGGAAGAGAGAAGAAGGAUAAAGUGAAGAAAAAGAAGAGAGCCUCCAUCCUCUCGGCCAGGUAAGAGGUUAGACCUCAACACCCAAGCAGCUCCAUUUUCUUCCUCUCUCAAUCUCACCUUCCCCAGAAACGUGAAACCCUAGCCUCCAUUCCUACAGCCGAGUCGUUACCUUCACCACUUCCUUCCUUUCCCCUCCACUCCAAGAAAGACCGAAAACCUAAGCCCCCAUACCCUCUUCUCCUUCCUCCAUUAGAGACCUGCCUAAACCCUAACCUCACUUUUCCAUUCAGUUGGAGAGAUCUCGAACCUCACCCAAAAAAAAAACUAAAAUCCAAGCCACUCUUCAUUCGGCUUGUAAAGGAGAAGGAAAAGGGGAAGAAGCAAGAAGAGUUCAAAGGAAGCUCAAGUCAAACUACCCAUUUGCAGUUCAAACAAGGCACAACCCGAGGAAGGAUUGUUAACAUUUCAAUAUCCUCCACUCUACAAGGUGUUUGAUCAAAGGCUACAUAGAGUUGGAUCAUGGAUGGUGUAGAUUUGAUGUCCUCGUCCAUUGGCGGCCUUUUUGUUUGCACUGCAAUGAAGAAAGGCACCCAUUACCAACAUUCAAGAGUAGAGGACCAAGAGAAUUGCAGUUGGUCCCAACCACCAAGCAAGGAAAGCCUUUUGAUUUCAUUUUGAUAAGGGGCCAUCAAACAAAACAGCUAUACAAAGGGCUUAACAAUGGGAAUUAUAUAUGUUGAUCCAGAAUGCAAGCUUCUGCUGAUGGGACUGAUUCUCUUUUCCACGCCCAUCUUCCAGAAAAGCUGAAAAUGAAUGAGUUCUCCUCGAGAGUUGUUUCUCAAUUGUGGAACGAAUAGCACAAUGCCCUGUUCGAUUGGGAAUGGGCUCAGAAGCCAAUUGAGUUGAAGCCGAAGAAUUGACAAGGACAGAGGGUAAAAUCCUUGCAAUGGAGGUCGCCAAACUGCAUUCAGCUUGAGAGGAAGCCUUGACUUGUUCCUGUUUGGAAUUGCGACAUGGGUAUGGCUCACAGAGUUCCUUCAGACUCUCAGUAUUCUUCUUGGAGGAUGAUAUGUAGACAGCUUCCUGAUAGAGGCCUUGUCUGAAAUUCAAAACCUGCUCUUCAAGCCGAACAACCUCCUCUUCCAAAACAGCCACCUCGGCAAGAAGCUCCAAUGUCUGCAAUAGAGAAAACCAAAAGGCCAUGUAGAGACACACAGAUAAUAAAUAUUGGGUUAUUCUCA